rnacentral:rRNA from 1 species
AGCAGCCCCGCGGUAAUACGUAGGGUGCAAGCGUUAAUCGGAAUUACUGGGCGUAAAGCGUGUGUAGGCGGUUCGGAAAGAAAGAUGUGAAAUCCCAGGGCUCAACCUUGGAACUGCAUUUUUAACUGCCGAGCUAGAGUAUGUCAGAGGGGGGUAGAAUUCCACGUGUAGCAGUGAAAUGCGUAGAUAUGUGGAGGAAUACCGAUGGCGAAGGCAGCCCCCUGGGAUAAUACUGACGCUCAGACACGAAAGCGUGGGGAGCAAACAGGAUUAGAUACCCUGGUAGUCCACGCCCUAAACGAUGUCAACUAGCUGUUGGGGCCGUUAGGCCUUAGUAGCGCAGCUAACGCGGA